GCAGAAAUGAUAAUAUGAAAGAUUAAUAACUGAACCUGAGAUUAUUUUAUCCUCUCUACUGUCUGUGUUCUGCUCGGUCCAACUUCAAGCAAGAUGGCAACGACGUCUCGGAAACAUAGAGACUUUACUGGUUAGCCAAUGGGAGACAAACUGGUGACGGCACUGUCAGGGAUUGGAGAGCUGCUGGGGAGUAGGCUGGCAGAUCAGGGCUUUGACAAGGUGAACAACACACACAUACAUGAAGUUUCCUUAACUGUUCAUUCAUAAAAGUAAAUUCAAUGUGUGAACAUUGUUUGGCUGGAGUAUUCAG
rnacentral:lncRNA from 1 species